rnacentral:lncRNA from 1 species
CAGGCCUGAACCUUUCAGUCUACCCCAGAAGAGUGCUCUAGUGGACCCUUGAGGGAUGAUCACACUCAAGAGCCAUGGAUAUAACUAGGCACUCAGCUUUCUACAAGCUGAGACAGUCUGAAUGGCGUGUUCUAGAUACUCAAUAUCUGGGCCUAUGUCACAACAGAGAGCAGUGUUUGGGGACCUCAGUGUCAUGUGCAAGUAAUAAGAACAUUGUCACUGUUUAUCUGACCAGAGAUUGAUAGUUCAAUACCUUUCAACUUGACUGGGAAGGUUUCCUUCGUAGGUGUUUCAACACAGUGCUGUUCUGGAGCGACCACUAAUAAACCAUUACUAAAUAAAUAAACA